rnacentral:rRNA from 1 species
AAUGAGAGUUUGAUCCUGGCUCAGGACGAACGCUGGCGGCGUGCCUAAUACAUGCAAGUAGAACGCUGAUGUUUGGUGUUUACACUAGACUGAUGAGUUGCGAACGGGUGAGUAACGCGUAGGUAACCUGCCUCAUAGCGGGGGAUAACUAUUGGAAACGAUAGCUAAUACCGCAUAAGAGUAUUAACACAUGUUAGUUAUUUAAAAGGAGCAAUUGCUUCACUGUGAGAUGGACCUGCGUUGUAUUAGCUAGUUGGUGAGGUAAAGGCUCACCAAGGCGACGAUACAUAGCCGACCUGAGAGGGUGAUCGGCCACACUGGGACUGAGACACGGCCCAGACUCCUACGGGAGGCAGCAGUAGGGAAUCUUCGGCAAUGGACGGAAGUCUGACCGAGCAACGCCGCGUGAGUGAAGAAGGUUUUCGGAUCGUAAAGCUCUGUUGUUAGAGAAGAACGUUGGUAGGAGUGGAAAAUCUACCAAGUGACGGUAACUAACCAGAAAGGGACGGCUAACUACGUGCCAGCAGCCGCGGUAAUACUAGGUCCCGAGCGUUGUCCGGAUUUAUUGGGCGUAAAGCGAGCGCAGGCGGUUCUUUAAGUCUGAAGUUAAAGGCAGUGGC